GACGAACGCUGGCGGCGUGCUUAACACAUGCAAGUCGAACGAAGAGCGACGGAAGCUUGCUUCUAUCAAUCUUAGUGGCGAACGGGUGAGUAACGCGUAAUCAACCUGCCCUUCAGAGGGGGACAACAGUUGGAAACGACUGCUAGUACCGCAUACGAUCUAAUCUCGGCAUCGAGGAUGGAUGAAAGGUGGCCUCUACAUGUAAGCUAUCACUGAAGGAGGGGAUUGCGUCUGAUUAGCUAGUUGGAGGGGUAACGGCCCACCAAGGCGAUGAUCAGUAGCCGGUCUGAGAGGAUGAACGGCCACAUUGGGACUGAGACACGGCCCAGACUCCUACGGGAGGCAGCAGUGGGGAAUCUUCCGCAAUGGACGAAAGUCUGACGGAGCAACGCCGCGUGAGUGAUGACGGCCUUCGGGUUGUAAAGCUCUGUUAAUCGGGACGAAAGGCCUUCUUGCGAAUAGUGAGAAGGAUUGACGGUACCGGAAUAGAAAGCCACGGCUAACUACGUG
rnacentral:rRNA from 1 species